CCGGCGACCGGCGCACGGGUGAGUAACGCGUAUCCAACCUUCCGUACACUCAGGGAUAGCCUUUCGAAAGAAAGAUUAAUACCUGAUGGUAUGAUGAGAUUGCAUGAUAGCAUCAUUAAAGAUUUAUCGGUGUACGAUGGGGAUGCGUUCCAUUAGGUAGUAGGCGGGGUAACGGCCCACCUAGCCAACGAUGGAUAGGGGUUCUGAGAGGAAGGUCCCCCACAUUGGAACUGAGACACGGUCCAAACUCCUACGGGAGGCAGCAGUGAGGAAUAUUGGUCAAUGGACGAGAGUCUGAACCAGCCAAGUAGCGUGAAGGAUGAAGGUCCUACGGAUUGUAAACUUCUUUUAUAAGGGAAUAAACCCUCCCACGUGUGGGAGCUUGUAUGUACCUUAUGAAUAAGCAUCGGCUAACUCCGUGCCAGCAGCCGCGGUAAUACGGAGGAUGCGAGCGUUAUCCGGAUUUAUUGGGUUUAAAGGGAGCGCAGACGGGUCGUUAAGUCAGCUGUGAAAGUUUGGGGCUCAACCUUAAAAUUGCAGUUGAUACUGGCGUCCUUGAGUGCGGUUGAGGUGUGCGGAAUUCGUGGUGUAGCGGUGAAAUGCUUAGAUAUCACGAAGAACUCCGAUUGCGAAGGCAG
rnacentral:rRNA from 1 species